CUCAAGAAGGAAACAAUAUCUUGCUUUCACGGCGGUGUGAAAGCCCCCAUCAUAUGUGACAUUUGCUCCCUCAAAGCACAGGUUUUAAAUAGGCAAAUAACAGUGUGCAACAAAAAGCUCUGUUUUUGGAGGAAAAAUAGGGAGAGAUGCUACCUAAUGAGUUUCUUUUUGCUGUAAUUCAUCUUUCAGCCCUUGUCAGUGGUCACAUAUGUGUGGAACAGCAGCCAACCACUGUACAUCUCACAGAGGGAGAAAAUGUUACUUUGUCAUGUCACAUCCGUGGAAAUAAAGGAGAGAACAUUUCUAAAUUCCAUGUAGAAUGGUACAGGGAAGGUGCUGGUGGAAAACUACAUGAGGUCGUAAACCUUUCUCAGCUCAGAGGAAGGUUGCAUGAGAACACUAAUAAAAAUCAACAAAGUGCAAGCUUGUCAGUCACCAUGCUCAAGCUAAAUGACACCGGCAGAUAUUUUUGCAAUUUCAUCUACCGGAUUGACCAGAAAAUACUGCAGCAUUAUGGAAACGGCACAAGCAUCAUUGUCCAAGAGGAAGUGACUACAGUUAUGACCAUCCUCAGUACCACAGAUAAUGUUGGAAAUACUACUGAUGCUGAUACUGAGAACACCACCACAGAAAGUAUCCUUCUCACAUUCCUUCUUUCUCUUUUAUUAUCAUUAAAGUUUGUAGCAGCUGUAUUCAUAUGGUUUUAUACUUUGUUUUCUGAUAAAACAAUUGUUAUUUAUUGUCCUGGUUUACUUAAAAGGUGACGUCUUCCUUCCAGGCCUGUAUAUGUCUUCAGUUUUUCACCUAACAAACAUGAGCCUUAUGACUCAUAAACACCCACAGAUGAUCAUGCCAAAAGGUCCUUUUAUGCAUAAAUAUUAUAAGUGUCAUAAUCUUUGAGGUCUGGUCUGGUUUGCAACCUCUCUUACAUUUUGUUAGUUAUGGAAAAAAUCACAAAUGUGUGUCAGUGAAGGAAAGUUGCUAUAGACAGAUGCAUUAUUUCUUUUUUUUUUCUCAGCUGAAGGUGAUAUUAAUGUAUGAGUUGUCUCUAGUAUUGUUGUUUUUUUUUCUCUUUGUGUGAAGCCAUGUCAUGAUGAGGAUUUUUUAUCCUUUCUAAACAUGAUAUAAGGAAGACUCUUUACUUUAUAAAUUCCUGAGUCUCUAAUGCUUGUUUAAUUGCACUUCUGAUGUGUCUGUGUGUGUCUGUAUCUGAGAUUAUUGAUAAUGCUAAUAAACCUUGUUUA